rnacentral:rRNA from 1 species
UGGGGAAUAUUGCACAAUGGGCGCAAGCCUGAUGCAGCAACGCCGCGUGAACGAUGAAGGUCUUCGGAUCGUAAAGUUCUGUUGCAGGGGAAGAUAACGACGGUACCCUGUGAGGAAGCCCCGGCUAACUACGUGCCAGCAGCCGCGGUAAUACGUAGGGGGCUAGCGUUAUCCGGAUUUACUGGGCGUAAAGGGUGCGUAGGUGGUCCUUCAAGUCGGUGGUUAAAGGCUACGGCUCAACCGUAGUAAGCCGCCGAAACUGGAGGACUUGAGUGCAGGAGAGGAAAGUGGAAUUCCCAGUGUAGCGGUGAAAUGCGUAGAUAUUGGGAGGAACACCAGUAGCGAAGGCGGCUUUCUGGACUGCAACUGACACUGAGGCACGAAAGCGUGGGUAGCAAACAGG